rnacentral:lncRNA from 1 species
UGGCCUUCUACGUUGAGGACCUCCGGGCCGGCCUUCGUUUCCCGGUCCCGGAGUUUGUCCGAAACAUUCUUGACUAUCACGGGCUGUGCCCGGCACAACUCGCGCCGAACUCAGUUCGGCUAAUAGUCAGUUUUGCUCUUCUGUGUCGGCUUUUGCCGACUGAUCCUCGGAUCUCCCUCUUUCGAGCUUUCUUCGUCCUCCGACCC